rnacentral:rRNA from 1 species
UACGUAGGUGGCGAGCGUUAUCCGGAAUUAUUGGGCGUAAAGAGCGCGCAGGUGGUUGAUUAAGUCUGAUGUGAAAGCCCACGGCUUAACCGUGGAGGGUCAUUGGAAACUGGUCGACUUGAGUGCAGAAGAGGAAAGUGGAAUUCCAUGUGUAGCGGUGAAAUGCGUAGAUAUAUGGAGGAACACCAGUGGCGAAGGCGACUUUCUGGUCUAUUAUUGACGCUGAGGCUCGAAAGCAUGGGUAGCAAACAGGAUUAGA